AUUGAACGCUGGCGGCAGGCCUAACACAUGCAAGUCGAGCGGAUGAAGGGAGCUUGCUCCUGGAUUCAGCGGCGGACGGGUGAGUAAUGCCUAGGAAUCUGCCUGGUAGUGGGGGAUAACGUCCGGAAACGGGCGCUAAUACCGCAUACGUCCUGAGGGAGAAAGUGGGGGAUCUUCGGACCUCACGCUCUCAGAUGAGCCUAGGUCGGAUUAGCUAGUUGGUGGGGUAAAGGCCUACCAAGGCGACGAUCCGUAACUGGUCUGAGAGGAUGAUCAGUCACACUGGAACUGAGACACGGUCCAGACUCCUACGGGAGGCAGCAGUGGGGAAUAUUGGACAAUGGGCGAAAGCCUGAUCCAGCCAUGCCGCGUGUGUGAAGAAGGUCUUCGGAUUGUAAAGCACUUUAAGUUGGGAGGAAGGACAGUAAGUUAAUACCUUGCUGUUUUGACGUUACCAACAGAAUAAGCACCGGCUAACUUCGUG
rnacentral:rRNA from 1 species